UGCAGCCCGUCAAAUUCAGCACCUGCCUCUGUUCAUGGCAAGGGCUGGCCCAAAAGGCUGCCACAGAAACUGUGGCUCAUGGGCCCUAUGUCCUGCUUUCUGGGACCUGGGGAUAAGUUUGGCUACAGACACUG